rnacentral:misc_RNA from 1 species
GAUGAAGAACGUAGCGAAAUGCGAUAAGUAAUGUGAAUUGCAGAAUUCAGUGAAUCAUCGAAUCUUUGAACGCACAUUGCGCCCCUUGGUAUUCCGAGGGGCAUGCCUGUUCGAGCGUCAUUAUAACCCCUCAAGCUCAGCUUGGUGUUGGGGCCUGCUGCACUGGCAGCCCUUAAAAUCAGUGGCGGCGCCAUCUGGCUCUAAGCGUAGUAAUUCUUCUCGCUAUGGAGUCCUGGUGGAUGCUUGCCAUCAACCCCCAAUUUUUCUAUGGUUGACCUCGGAUCAGGUAGGGAUACCCGCCGAACUUAAGCAUAUCAAUAAGCGGAGGA